AUGGGCAGAAAGGGGUUCAAAACUGAGUGUUGUGCUCCAGGAAAGAUGGCAAAAUUGCCUUUUCUGAUGAUAAGCAAGCAGCACACAGCACCUGUGGCAGCGGCGCCAGCCAGGGGAAGCAGCUCCCCAUCUGCAGCUCUCCCCAGCCCGCUGCAGCGAGCCGACGCCAUGGCCAGUGAGGCCCAGGACGUCACCUGCCCUGUGUGCCAGGGGGCCCCCAAGGAGCCCAGCUACACCCUCCCCUGUCUGCACCACUUCUGCUUCGGGUGCAUCAUGCGCUGGGCCAAGAGAAGCAGCACCUGCCCCCUCUGCAGGCAGCGCAUCACCUCCAUCCGCUACUCCAUCUGGGCGGAAGACGACUUCCUGGAGGUGCAGCUUGCCCCCGACGCAGAGGCCCAAGACCACAGCCAGCAGGACGAGCAGGGGGCUGCAGAGCCAGUGCCCCAGCCUGCCCUGAGAGGCCUCCUGCCUGAGGAAUGGGCGGCCCUCUUCAGGGAGCACCUGGAAGUCCUCGGUCCGCUGCGCUCCUGGGUGCGACAGCAAGCCAGGGAGCUGUUCAACGCUGCCUGGUGGGACCAGGACAUGCUGGAGGCCACCGUCAUCGCUUGGCUGUGCCGCUGUGGGCUGGAUGAGCAGGCCUUGUGUCCUGGUUUCAGUUAGCACAGAAUUAAUUUUCUUCCUAGUAGCUGGUGGAAUGCUGUGUUUUGGCUUAGGAUGAGAAGAGUGCUGAUAACACCCCGAUGCUUUAAUUGUUGCAGAGCAGUGCUUAUACUAAGCCAAGGACAUCUCAGCCUUUUGCUCUGUCCUGCCAACGGGCAGGCUGGGGGUGCAGUAAGAGCUGGGAGGGGACAGACCCAGGACAGGUGACCCAAACUAGCCAAAGGGGUAUUCCAUACCAUCUGACGUCAUGCUAAACAAUAUAUAGGGGUGGCUAGCUGGGGGGAGGGGGCCGGACUGCUCAGGGUUAGGCUGGGCAUCGGUCAGCGAGUGGUGAGCAAUUGCAUUGUGCAUCACUUGUUUGUACAUACUAUUACUUUCGUAUUAUCACCAUUGUAUCAUUAUUAUUAUUAUUGUUAUUAUUAUUUUUGUUAUUAUUAUUUUCCUGUCUUAUUAAACUGUCUUUAUCUCAAAUCACGGGCUUCACUCUCCAUUUCUCUCCCCCGUCCCAGAGAGGGAUGGGGGAGGGUGAGCGAACGGCUGCGUGGUGUUUAGCUGCCGGCCGGGUUAAACCACGACACCUUGGUGCGGGAGCUGCAACCGUUGCUGCAGGGCCACACGCUGAGCUUUGUGCAGCGCCUCAUUUCCAUCAUGGUGCAGACGUGCAGCGAGGAGUACCUGGAGCACCUGGGAUUCCUGGAACCGCGUCCUGCCAGCCGGCUCUACAACGGCCCUGAGGUGGACCUCGAGGGCUCCCAAGACACCUGGGAGCCAAACAUCGAGGGCUCCCAAGACACCUGGGAGCCAGAGCUCGAGGGCUCCCAAGACACCUGGGAGCCAGAAGAGAGCCCCGAGGCCACCCCCAGCCCUACUGCCUCCACCCGGGACACUCCUGUCAGCAUGCUGCUGUCCUCCAGCAGCCCGGAGGCUUCUGACCUCGAUGAGCUGCCCAGCACCUCCGGUGCCGCCCUGCGUGGGGGUCCUGGCGACCCGCCCACCGCACCCAUCCCCGGGGAGCAGGAGGAGCCCUUCUCAGAGCCACGAGAGGUGGAAGAAGAAGAUGCCGUGGUGCCGGGCUGCAGCCACGAGCCCUCUCCUCCUGGCCAGGGCAGGGACAGCUCACCUGGGAGGCCCCGGCGGAGGAGGAAGAGGAGGGCCGACAGCAACCCAGACUCUCCCCAGCCCUGCAAGAGGCCCCCGCGCCUUUAGCAGGGCACACGUGGUUGUCAUACAAAUAAAAAUUUGUGACCCUGCCA
rnacentral:lncRNA from 1 species